rnacentral:rRNA from 1 species
UGGGGAAUAUUGCACAAUGGGCGCAAGCCUGAUGCAGCAACGCCGCGUGAGGGACGACGGCCUUCGGGUUGUAAACCUCUUUUAGUAGGGAAGAAGCGAAAGUGACGGUACCUGCAGAAAAAGCACCGGCUAACUACGUGCCAGCAGCCGCGGUAAUACGUAGGGUGCGAGCGUUGUCCGGAAUUAUUGGGCGUAAAGAGCUCGUAGGCGGUCUGUCGCGUCUGCUGUGAAAACCCGAGGCUCAACCUCGGGCCUGCAGUGGGUACGGGCAGACUAGAGUGCGGUAGGGGAGAAUGGAAUUCCUGGUGUAGCGGUGGAAUGCGCAGAUAUCAGGAGGAACACCGAUGGCGAAGGCAGUUCUCUGGGCCGUAACUGACGCUGAGGAGCGAAAGCGUGGGGAGCGAACAGGAUUAGAUACCCUGGUAGUCCACGCCGUAAACGUUGGGCGCUAGAUGUGGGGACCACUCCACGGUUUCCGUGUCGCAGCUAACGCAUU